rnacentral:misc_RNA from 1 species
UUUCCGUAGGUGAACCUUCGGAAGGAUCAUUACCGUAACGCGGCGGUCCGGCAACCGCAAGGAAGUCGGCCGCCACACGCGUUUAUCACCCUUGACUUUGAGCACCUUUCGUUUCCUCGGCGGGUUCGCCCGCCGAUUGGACAAAACUUAAACCCUUUGUAGUUGCAAUCAGCGUCUGAAAAAACUUAAUAGUUACAACUUUCAACAACGGAUCUCUUGGUUCUGGCAUCGAUGAAGAACGCAGC